GGCCAGACUCCUACGGGAGGCAGCAGUGGGGGAUAUUGCACAAUGGGGGGAACCCUGAUGCAGCGACGCCGCGUGGGUGAAGAAGUAUUUCGGUAUGUAAAGCCCUAUCGGCAGGGAAGAAAUUGGACGGUACCUGACUAAGAAGCCCCGGCUAACUACGUGCCAGCAGCCGCGGUAAUACGUAGGGGGCAAGCGUUAUCCGGAUUCACUGGGUGUAAAGGGAGCGUAGACGGCCAUGCAAGCCUGGAGUGAAAGCCCGGGGCCCAACCCCGGGACUGCUCUGGGAACUGUGCGGCUGGAGUGCGGGAGGGGCAGGCGGAAUUCCUGGUGUAGCGGUGAAAUGCGUAGAUAUCAGGAGGAACACCGGCGGCGAAGGCGGCCUGCUGGACCGCGACUGACGUUGAGGCUCGAAAGCGUGGGGAGCAAACAGGAUUAGAUACCCCUGUA
rnacentral:rRNA from 1 species